GGACUACAAGGGUAUCUAAUCCUGUUUGAUCCCCACGCUUUCGUGUAUGAGUGUCAGUAUAGGACCAGGUCGCCGCCUUCGCCGCCGGUGUUCCUCCUGAUAUCUACGUAUUUCACCACUACACCAGGAAUUCCACGACCCUCUUCCAUACUCAAGUUUUGUAGUUUUAAAUGCACUUCCCGAGUUAAGCCCGGGGCUUUCACAUCUAACUUACAAAGCCACCUGCACACGCUUUACGCCCAAUGAUUCCGAACAACGCUAGGACCCCCCGUCUUACCGCGGCUGCUGGCAC
rnacentral:rRNA from 1 species